rnacentral:rRNA from 1 species
UACGGAGGAUGCAAGCGUUAUCCGGAAUGAUUGGGCGUAAAGCGUCCGCAGGUGGCAAUGUAAGUCUGCUGUCAAAGCGUCUGGCUCAACCAGAUAAAGGCAGUGGAAACUACAUAGCUAGAGUAAGGUAGGGGUAGAGGGAAUUCCUGGUGUAGCGGUGAAAUGCGUAGAGAUCAGGAAGAACACCGGUGGCGAAAGCGCUCUGCUGGACCUUAACUGACACUGAGGGACGAAAGCUAGGGGAGCAAAUGGG